ACGGAAGGCAGCAGUGGGGAAUAUUGCACAAUGGGGGAAACCCUGAUGCAGCAACGCCGCGUGGGUGAUGACGGUCUUCGGAUUGUAAAGCUCUGUCUUUGGGGACGAUAAUGACGGUACCCAAGGAGGAAGCCACGGCUAACUACGUGCCAGCAGCCGCGGUAGUACGUAGGUGGCGAACGUUGUCCGGAUUUACUGGGCGUAAAGGGAGCGUAGGCGGAUUCUUAAGUGGGAUGUGAAAUACCCGGGCUUAACCUGGGUGCUGCAUUCCAAACUGGGAAUCUAGAGUGCAGGAGGGGAGAGUGGAAUUCCUAGUGUAGCGGUGAAAUGCGUAGAGAUUAGGAAGAACACCAGUGGCGAAGGCGACUCUCUGGACUGUAACUGACGCUGAGGCUCGAAAGCGUGGGAGCAAACAGGAUUAGAUACCCUGGUA
rnacentral:rRNA from 1 species